rnacentral:rRNA from 1 species
GGCUUUACCAAGGGCGAUGAUGCAUAGCCGAGUUGAGAGACUGAUCGGCCACAUUGGGACUGAGACACGGCCAAAACUCCUACGGGAGGCAGCAGUAGGAAUCUUCCACAAUGGACGCAAGUCUGAUGGAGCAACGCCGCGUGAGUGAAGAAGGUUUUCGGAUCGUAAAAGCUCUGUUGUUGGUGAAGAAGGAUAGAGGUAGUAACUGGCCUUUAUUUGACGGUAAUCAACCAGAAGUCACGGCUAACUACGUGCCAGCAGCCGCGGUAAU